CGGCCCUAAGUUAGCCCCAGCUCUUGCUGCUCACCGGACACUUUACAAGGGUGCAAAGAAUCAUGGCGCUGCGCAUGUAGGGGGAUCUGUUUUAUGUUGGGACUUGCAUCUGGCAGUGACCUUCGCCCUCAGGGAGCUCCGCUGUUCUUCCCGCUUUUCUCAGCGGCUGGAGCUCUCUCAGCUACUGCGACUGGCUUCUAGAAUCCCUCCCCAUCAUUGUGGACUAAUGGCAUGAGCCAUCUAGUGAAGGUUGGUGAAGCCAGUGUUUCAUAACCGCCUUCAUCCUGACCCUUUGUGGGUGUGCCACGGGGCAGCUGCAAAACCAGGUGCUGUGCCCAUCUCUUCAUGAGCGUGUCUAUUUCAUCUUAACAGCGAUCCAACGAGGCAGGCUCUAUUCCGAGUCCCGUUUUUUGCAGGAGGAAAUUAAAGCUGAAAAGAGCAAACAAGAAUCCAAGAGCGUGAGAAUGAUGCUAUGACCAUGGUUCCCAAACUGUACACCAGGAUGCCACAGAGCACCACAGUAAACUCAGGAGGGUACCUCGGGAUAUUUCAAAUGCUUUGAGGGAAACUUGACAUCCUCUGGACAUCAUGCUAAUGACCAGCUCAAGUGCUGUGGAUUGAGCUGACACCAUGGUGGCUUUGUCAAGGUGCUGUGUCCACAGAGCUCAACAUGCAGUAUUGGCCUGGCACAGCUGCACUAGUACUUAUCCCAGACAUCACGCUUGCUCAUCCAUACAACUAGUGAACAAAGAAACUGUGCCUGCUCUGUACAUUUGUGGAAGCCAUACCAACAGGUAAGGAAGGAGGAGGAGGAGAAGAAAGGAUUUCCUCCCUUGAAGAUAUGACCUGGAAAUUACAUGCAUCAUGUCUGCUCAUAUCCCAUUGGCAAGAACUCUUCUGAUGGCCACACAAGAGAUGCUGGUUUAGGCAGCAUGGAACAGUAUUACCAAGAUGGGAUUUGGAGUCGCAGAGUUCUGGGUUCAAAUUCCAGCAGCACUGCUUCCUGGCUGUGUGACCCUGGGGCAGACCAUCUGGUCAUCUACUUUCUGCCACCCUCUUCCAGCUAUGAUGCCUCAACACUUUGACCGGUGGUCACGUCCUCUCUGAAGACUUCUCCAGGGCGCCAUCAUUUGCCGAAGGAAGCAAGCUUCCACAAUGUGAGCAGACCUAUGCCCCCAAGGAGUGGUGAGGAACUGAGGCCCUCUGUCCAACAGCCUGUGAGGAAAUGAAACCUGCCAACACCAGCCACAGGGGUGAGCUCGGAAGUGGAUCCGUCAGCCCCAGUUGAGCCUUGAGAUGUCAGCAGACCAGGCUGACACCUCAGCUCUAACCUCAAGAAAGACCUUGAGCCAGAAGCACCCAGCUAAGCUGCUCCCAGAAACCCUGAGAAAAUAAA